UCUUUUUGUAUCAUGAGUGCAGGUUCAAUAAUCGUUAUCGAUUAAUUUAUUCAAAACAGUAGCAAUUGCCCACUCUAGUUUUGUUUUGUGAGUGAGAUUUGUGUGGCGGCAAUAGCAUACAUAUUUAAUCCUGUACAUGUAUAAAUUUGGCAUUUGAAAAAAGGUUUUCUUUCGAAGUCGAGGAAAGUAGAGCGGGUAUUGGUACAGUUUAACGGGUCAACGGAAAAUUUACCUAAAAUGGUGUAUCAAAAGAUGG